rnacentral:rRNA from 1 species
UGGGGAAUAUUGGACAAUGGGCGAAAGCCUGAUCCAGCCAUGCCGCGUGUGUGAAGAAGGUCUUCGGAUUGUAAAGCACUUUAAGUUGGGAGGAAGGGCAGUAAGCUAAUACCUUGCUGUUUUGACGUUACCGACAGAAUAAGCACCGGCUAACUUCGUGCCAGCAGCCGCGGUAAUACGAAGGGUGCAAGCGUUAAUCGGAAUUACUGGGCGUAAAGCGCGCGUAGGUGGUUCGUUAAGUUGGAUGUGAAAGCCCCGGGCUCAACCUGGGAACUGCAUCCAAAACUGGCGAGCUAGAGUAUGGUAGAGGGUGGUGGAAUUUCCUGUGUAGCGGUGAAAUGCGUAGAUAUAGGAAGGAACACCAGUGGCGAAGGCGACCACCUGGACUGAUACUGACACUGAGGUGCGAAAAGCGUGGGGAGCAGACAGGAUUAGAUACCCUGGUAGUCCACGCCGUAAACGAUGUCAACUAGCCGUUGGGUUCCUUGAGAACUUAGUGGCGCAGCUAACGCAUUAAAGUUGACCGCCUGGGGAGUACGGCCGCAAGGUU